rnacentral:tRNA from 1 species
UCAAAAGUAAGUUAUUUAAACUAUAGGAUUCAUACUCCAAAAAAGAAGCAUUGUAUCCUUUUGAA